rnacentral:rRNA from 1 species
UACGAAGGGGCUAGCGUUGCUCGGAAUCACUGGGCGUAAAGGGUGCGUAGGCGGGUCUUUAAGUCAGGGGUGAAAUCCUGGAGCUCAACUCCAGAACUGCCUUUGAUACUGAGAUCUUGAGUUCGGGAGAGGUGAGUGGAACUGCGAGUGUAGAGGUGAAAUUCGUAGAUAUUCGCAAGAACACCAGUGGCGAAGGCGGCUCACUGGCCCGAUACUGACGCUGAGGCACGAAAGCGUGGGGAGCAAACAGG